rnacentral:rRNA from 1 species
UGGGGAAUAUUGCGCAAUGGGCGAAAGCCUGACGCAGCAACACCGCGUGAGGGAUGACGGCCUUCGGGUUGUAAACCUCUUUCAGCUCCGACGAAGCGAAAGUGACGGUAGGAGCAGAAGAAGCACCGGCUAACUACGUGCCAGCAGCCGCGGUAAUACGUAGGGUGCAAGCGUUGUCCGGAAUUAUUGGGCGUAAAGAGCUCGUAGGCGGUCCGUUGCGUCUGCCGUGAAAACCCGGAGCUCAACUCCGGGCCUGCGGUGGAUACGGGCGGACUAGAGUCCGGUAGGGGAGACUGGAAUUCCUGGUGUAGCGGUGGAAUGCGCAGAUAUCAGGAGGAACACCGGUGGCGAAGGCGGGUCUCUGGGCCGGAACUGACGCUGAGGAGCGAAAGCGUGGGGAGCGAACAGGGAUUAGAUACCCUGGUAGUCCACGCCGUAAACGGUGGGCGCUAGGUGU